UGCAGUCGAACGAGAAAGUAGCAAUACGAGUAAAGUGGCGGACGGGUGAGUAACGCGUAGGUAAUCUACCUCUUAGCGUGGAAUAACAUUCCGAAAGGAGUGCUAAUACCGCAUAAGGUAGCUCGACGAUGGUUGAGCUAGGAAAGAGGGCGCCCGCAAGGGGCUCUCACUGAGAGAUGAGCUUGCGUCCCAUUAGCUAGUUGGCAGAGUAAUAGCCCACCAAGGCUACGAUGGGUAGCUGGUCUGAGAGGAUGACCAGCCACACUGGAACUGACACACGGUCCAGACUCCUACGGGAGGCAGCAGUGGGGAAUUUUGCGCAAUGGGGGAAACCCUGACGCAGCGACGCCGCGUGGGUGAAGAAGGCCUUCGGGUUGUAAAGCCCUGUCAGCAGGGAAAAAGGAUUUCGUGUUAAUACCACGAAGUUUUGAUGGUACCUGCAGAGGAAGCACCGGCUAACCCUGUGCCAGCAGCCGCGGUAAUACAGGGGGUGCUAGCGUUGUUCGGAAUUACUGGGCGUAAAGGGCGUGUAGGCGGCAUAGCAAGUCAGAUGUGAAAUCCCGGGGCUUAACUCCGGAACUGCAUUUGAAACUGCUAAGCUCGAGUAGAGUAGAGGCUAGCGGAAUUCCCAGUGUAGAGGUGAAAUUCGUAGAUAUUGGGAAGAACACCAGUGGCGAAGGCGGCUAGCUGGGCUCUAACUGACGCUAAAGCGCGAAAGCGUGGGGAUCAAACAGGAUUAGAUACCCUGGUAGUCCACGCUGUAAACGAUUGAUACUCGCUGUGGUUGGUAUUGACCCCGACCGUAGC
rnacentral:rRNA from 1 species